rnacentral:rRNA from 1 species
UACGUAGGGUGCGAGCGUUGUCCGGAAUUACUGGGCGUAAAGAGCUCGUAGGUGGCUUGUCGCGUUGUUCGUGAAAUCUCACGGCUUAACUGUGAGCGUGCGGGCGAUACGGGCAGACUUGAGUACUGCAGGGGAGACUGGAAUUCCUGGUGUAGCGGUGGAAUGCGCAGAUAUCAGGAGGAACACCGGUGGCGAAGGCGGGUCUCUGGGCAGUAACUGACGCUGAGGAGCGAAAGCGUGGGGAGCGAACAGG